UACAGAGGUCCCAAGCGUUGUUCGGAAUUACUGGGCGUAAAGGGUCUGUAGGUGGCUUACUAAGUCAGACGUGAAAUCCCUCAGCUUAACUGGGGAACUGCGUCUGAUACUGGAAAGCUUGAGUGCAGGAGAGGAACGCGGAAUUCCAGGUGUAGCGGUGAAAUGCGUAGAUAUCUGGAGGAACACCGGUGGCGAAGGCGGCGUUCUGGACUGCAACUGACACUGAGAGACGAAAGCCAGGGGAGCAAACGGG
rnacentral:rRNA from 1 species